rnacentral:rRNA from 1 species
AACUGCUGGACAAGGAGUGUUCUGUUGAGCUCAUUUUCACACGAUGAACAACUGGCUUAGAACUGAUUCGGGCAAGGGGAAUCCGACUGUUUAAUUGAAACAAAGCAUUGCGAGGGCCUCAAAGGGUGGUGCCACAAUGUGAUUUCUGCCCAGUGCUCUGAAUGUCAAAGUGAGGAAAUUCAACUAAGCGCGGGUAAACGGCGGGAGUAACUAUGACUCUCUUAAGGUAGCCAAAUGCCUCGUCAUCCAAUUAGUGACGCGCAUGAAUGGAUUAAUGAGAUUCCCACUGUCCCCAUCUACUGUCCAGCGAAACCACAGCCAAGGGAACGGGCUUGGGUAAAUCAGCGGGGAAAGAAGACCCUGUUGAGCUUGACUCUAAUCUGACUUUGUGAAAUGACUUAGGAGGUGUAGGAUAUGUGGGAGCUCUGGUGAUCUUGAAAUACCACUACUCUUAAUGUCACUUUACUUACUCUAUCAAACUGUGGCCUGCUUCCCAGCAGGUUUUUGUUUCAAGGCAUCUCAUCUGACUUGUUGACUUGCGUAAAGGACGUACUCAGGUGGGCAGUUUGGCUGGGGCGGCACAUCUGUUAAAGGAUAACGCAGGUGUCCCAAGGUAAGCUCAAGGAAAACAAAAAUCUCAUGUGGAUCAAAAGGGGAAAUGCUUGCUUGAUUUUGCUUUUCAGUGUGAAGACAAACUGUGCAAACAUGGCCUAUCGAUCCUUUGG